rnacentral:lncRNA from 1 species
GUUUAUAAAACCAUAUUAGGAUGUAAAACUUAGCAGUUGGCAUGAAUAUUCAUUAUUGACAGCUGUUAUUAUAGCAGUUCUCAUGAAUAUUCAUUAUUUGAUAGCUGUUAUUAUAGCAGUUCUCAUGAAUAUUCAGAUCUCAUUUAAAUUUUUCGUUAAAAAUAACUGCCAAAGAACUGUGAAGGCUAAAUAAACUGCUAAGAAACAGCUAUGGAAUGCUAUUGGAAUGCCUUUAUGCAAAUUAAUCAUUGCCUUAUAUUUGGUAACUGUGAAUGCUAAUAAACUGCCAAAUAACUGCUGUCAAGUGGGAACUGUGAAUGCUAAUUAACUGCUAAAGAACUGCAGUUCACUUUGACUUGGGUUAACAUAAAGAUAUAACUUAACUUUUUUUGAGGCUGUAAUCCACGGGCGCUGUCUGGAUCCCAGGUCUUCUGAGUGUGUACCUGCAAGAGAAAACAAAGUGUCUAUUACUUUCACGUUAAUACGACAAUUUUGGGAAAAGGGUCCAUUAACAUAAAGAUAUAACUUAACUUUUUUUGAGGCUGUAAUCCACGGGCGCUGUCUGGAUCCCAGGUCUUCUGAGUGUGUACCUGCAAGAGAAAACAAAGUGUCUAUUACUUUCA